CCUACGGGUCGCUGCAGUGGGGAAUAUUGGACAAUGGGCGAAAGCCUGAUCCAGCCAUGCCGCGUGUGUGAAGAAGGCCUUCGGGUUGUAAAGCACUUUCAGUGGGGAAGAAAGCCUUGGGGCUAAUACCCUCGAGGAAGGACAUCACCCACAGAAGAAGCACCGGCUAACUCCGUGCCAGCAGCCGCGGUAAUACGGAGGGUGCGAGCGUUAAUCGGAAUUACUGGGCGUAAAGCGCGCGUAGGCGGUCUGAUAAGCCGGUUGUGAAAGCCCCGGGCUCAACCUGGGAACGGCAUCCGGAACUGUCAGGCUAGAGUGCAGGAGAGGAAGGUAGAAUUCCCGGUGUAGCGGUGAAAUGCGUAGAGAUCGGGAGGAAUACCAGUGGCGAAGGCGGCCUUCUGGACUGACACUGACGCUGAGGUGCGAAAGCGUGGGUAGCAAACAGGAUUAGAUACCCUUGUAGUC
rnacentral:rRNA from 1 species